rnacentral:rRNA from 1 species
ACAUGCGGUUGAACGGACGCGCGAGCUGUUCAGUGGCGGACGGGUGAGUAAUGUCUGGGAAACUGCCUGAUGGAGGGGGAUAACUACUGGAAACGGUGGCUAAUACCGCAUAACGUCGCAAGACCAAAGAGGGGGACCUUCGGGCCUCUUGCCAUCAG